GCCGUCGUAGCUCAGCUGGCAGAGCGUCCCGCUCGUAACGGGAAGGCCGCGAGUUCGAUCCUCGCCGUCGGCUCCA
rnacentral:tRNA from 1 species